GGCAUGCCCCAGCUCUGGCCUGGCACACAGGGGAAGGGGUUGUAGCCCAGCCCUGGCCCAUGAAGAGGAGGGAUCACUGCCCAGCCCCAAUCUGGCUGUAUGAGGAGGAGUGUGUGUGGCCUUGCCCCAAACCAGCCGCGCAGGGGGACAUGCAGGGCCUGGACCCAUGGGUAGGAGGGGGCAUGGCCUGGCACUAAUAUGGCUGCAUGGAAGGAUGCGGGCACAGCUCAGCUCCCACUCACCCGUGGGGCUUGGAAGUCUGCUAGCAGGGAGGGGUGGCUGUAUUCGUUGCUACUGCUCCCCUACUGCUGAAUUUCCCAACCCAUGGGGAGCCAGCCCUGUGGGCCAGAUGCCAUGGCUCCACAAGCCUGAAUUGCCCCACCAGCCAGCGGUUGAGCAGCCCAGCUGUGGUGUAGUAAAGUCAGUACGUCUUAGCUCUCACAUUCACUUGCAACCAUGGCAAGUCACCGGAUGGAGCAACCCCCAAAGCUCCUCUAUAACACUGGGCUGGGUGCUGGGUCUGACCAUCGCCCAGUUUUGGGUGCUGCACAGAAGCAGGGGCUGCGAGGGACAGCGAGCAGGACCCCGCAGGGCUUUCCAUCCUGUUCCUCUCCCUAGCUGCGCCCCCGGAAGCUCCCUCCCCCGACUCCCAAGCUCCCUGGCUCCCAGCACGUGCUGGGAGAGCUCUCCCCAGGGAUCCACUUGGCAGCAGCACCAGGGGCUCAGGCGCUUGGACUUUGAAACUGUACUUCGCCACGUACUUGAGCGCCCAACGGCCGGGCAAGAGCUGGUCCGUGACGUCGCCGCUCAUGCGGCGUGACGUCAUGGGAGGGCUGAGCUGCCGGUGUCAUGAAAUGGAACGCCCACUUUGAGAUAGCUGAGGGCUGCGGGCAGAGCCCCUCGGGGGCGGGGCCAAGAGGCGAGCCUAUCAGUCAGGCCUCUCUGACGUCAGGGAGCUCCACCCCCUCACGGCGGGGACACAGCAGGGUGCUCUGCGCCUGCGCGGGGAGGAGAAGGGGAUGCGGCCCAUGGAGCCUCCCUUUCCUGCCCGGAGGGGGCGGGGCUUUGGCGUCACCCGGAAGGGCGCUCCCUAUAUCAGGAGACGGGUGGGGGUAAGGAUUUCCUCUUUGGGCGGCGAGCAGCAGGCGAGGGGUGGUGUGUGGAGGCUUCUACCCUUCUUCCCCUCCGCCCCCCCUUCGCCGCGUGGUCUCGGCUCUUCGGGCCCCCUCGCGCUGUUGGCGGCGGUGGUCGCUGGCAACGCUGGGGAUAGAGAAACGCCCGGGCGGCGGUGCGAGGAUGGCGGCGCCUCUCUCAGGUCAGUGUUGCUCAGUUUAAGAUGCCUUUUGAAGAUGGGGGUAAAUGUAAACUUCUGGAAAAAGCUGCAACUAGCUGCUAAUUGGGACUGGAUGAGCUGGACUGCCUAGUUGGCCCCUAUUCACAAGCUUCUUCCUGCCUACUCUCCCCAGUACUCCCUGCCCACUCAUUGCAAUUCCCUGCCCUCCAGUGAAAUCUGGUCCUGUAGGUAGGAAAAGAUCCUGCUUAUAUGGGAGGGUGCAUUCAUUUGGCUGCUGGGAGUGCUGCUUAGUUCCAUCUAGCAAAAGGAGGAGAUGGCACAAAGAGUGAGAACUGGCUACAUGACAGUAUCUACCAUAGUGGUGCCAGGACAAAGUGAGUGUUGCUGAUGCUAAAGCAGCCUCCAGGACCUGUGCACCCUCUCACCCUCUAACUAGAUGGCUGUCCUCCCCUUCCCCCUGCCACCAAUGUGGCACUACUUUCCAAACCAAGUAGUGCACAUCCAAAAUUCUGCCUUUUUACCAAAUUGUAUAUAUAAUUUUUAUAUUUUAAUAUACAUUUAUAAAAUGUUAAAUUAUAUUAAAUGGUCCUUUUUUUUAGGAUCCAGAAUUACUACAAUGAAAGCCAAAAACUUAGUGAAGCCUCUGCCUCUUCCAUUCCCCAAAAUAUAUAUUUAUGUACAUUUGAAGUUGUAACUUCUACUUUAUGGAAAAUGGAAACUUUGAUAUCUUUAAUUUGUUGCAGGAGAGUUCAGUGUAAAGCAGUUUUUAGACUAUCCCCAAAAUGUUGUAAAAUGACUUUCCAAUCUAAGUAUUUGAAAAGUACUUUAGGCAUCUCUCCCAGCAGGAAUUCAGCAAAUAAUGUCAAGACUAGUGGAAAUGUUCUUAGGAGGCAUGAAACCACCUCUUGUCUGAAAUGGCUUGUCUUGAACAACCCUCCGUGCUAAUGUUCAGUGGGAGAACCACAUCCAUUAAAGACACUGGCCUUAAAACUU